rnacentral:hammerhead_ribozyme from 1 species
GCACUACUGACGAGUUCAAAACAGGACGAAACAGCUGUCCAGUGC